GCCGAGGUGGUGGAAUUGGCAGACACGCUAGGUUCAGGACCUAGUGAGAAAUCAUGCGGGUUCGAGUCCCGCCCCCGGCACCA
rnacentral:tRNA from 1 species